rnacentral:rRNA from 1 species
GAUGAACGCUGGCGGCGUGCCUAACACAUGCAAGUCGAGCGGACCAAUGCUCAUUUCAGCUUUGCUGAUUUGAGCAACGGUUAGCGGCGGACGGGUGAGUAACGCGUGGGCAACCUGCCCUGUGCAGGGGGAUAACACAGCGAAAGCUGUGCUAAUACCCCAUAAGACUACGCUACCGCAUGAUAGAGUAGUCAAAGCUUUAGCGGCACAGGAUGGGCCCGCGUCUGAUUAGCUAGUUGGUGGGGUAACGGCCUACCAAGGCGACGAUCAGUAGCCGACCUGAGAGGGUGAUCGGCCACACUGGAACUGAGACACGGUCCAGACUCCUACGGGAGGCAGCAGUGGGGAAUAUUGCACAAUGGGGGAAACCCUGAUGCAGCAACGCCGCGUGAGCGAAGAAGGCCUUCGGGUCGUAAAGCUCUGUCCUAAGGGAAGAAGCAUGACGGUACCUUAGGAGGAAGCCCCGGCUAACUACGUGCCAGCAGCCGCGGUAAUACGUAGGGGGCGAGCGUUAUCCGGAAUCACUGGGCGUAAAGGGUGCGUAGGCGGCCGAGUAAGCCAGAGGUGAAAGGCUACGGCUUAACCGUAGUAAGCCUUUGGAACUACUUGGCUUGAGUGCAGGAGAGGAGAGUGGAAUUCCUAGUGUAGCGGUGAAAUGCGUAGAUAUUAGGAGGAACACCAGUGGCGAAGGCGACUCUCUGGACUGUAACUGACGCUGAGGCACGAAAGCGUGGGGAGCAAACAGGAUUAGAUACCCUGGUAGUCCACGCCGUAAACGAUGAGUGCUAGGUGUCGGGGGUUCACGCCCUCGGUGCCGGAGUUAACGCAAUAAGCACUCCGCCUGGGG